GGUUAAGCUAUCAUAAUUAUCCUGACUCCCAUAAGACUUAAUAUUUACAACAACAUCUAUACAUAACUUUCUCAAUCCUUACAAUAUGUACAAUAUUUAAAUAAGUUCAGGAUUUACAAUUAUGCAAUUCCUAGAUUCUGAAAUAGGCCCAGACGAGUUUCUACUAUAGGCUAAGCACCCCGGACACGCUCACUACCUCGAAUAAUGCAGCCGACAUGCUCACAAAACCAGUAUCGAAGCUCAAGCUCCAAAGAUCCUUUGAAUUAAUUGGCUUCAAUCAACCUGAAAAAGGGUAAAAAAAAUCAGAUUUGAAAGAUACUUGAAGAAUUCUAUUUUUUUUCCGUUGGAAUCAAGGUGGAGAUUUGUAGAAAAA
rnacentral:misc_RNA from 1 species